rnacentral:lncRNA from 1 species
UAUGAAUGGAAGGAAUGGAUAGGAAAGUACAGGAUGUGAAUGUGUCUGGUCUUCUAGUGGAAUACAGUGCUUACAAUACCUGGUCAAAUGGCAUGAAAGAAGGAAUUCUUCCCAACUGCUCAGCUCCUGGAUUACUGAUAUAACUAAUAGACUUAUCCUUCACCUUGUUUACUCCAUCUUCAUGGAUUUUUUUGUCUUUGUUUCAUUAGAGGCAGACACUGGACUGGCUGAGCCAAGCUGACAAACUUCAUUACCAAUAGCUGAAAAAAAUCGAACUAAAGACGCACAGGAAGUGAGUAUGGCACCAUCUGCAUCGGUUCUCUUGUCCAAGUGGAAGCUACCCUCUGCCUAAGUGCAGGAGAGGCUGAACCAGCAUCCUUCCCCAGACAAAAGCAUGAUCUGCAUGCCUGGAAGAUGAAAACCAUAUGUGGAUUAUACCUCUUUCACAGUUGUCAUCAUUGCCUUUGUAUCAGCCUGGAG